rnacentral:rRNA from 1 species
CCUACGGGGGGCAGCAGUGAGGAAUAUUGGUCAAUGACCGAGAGGCUGAACCAGCCAAGUCGCGUGAGGGAAGACGGCCCUACGGGUUGUAAACCUCUUUUGUCGGGGAGCAAAGCGAACCACGUGUGGUUCAUUGAGAGUACCCGGAGAAAAAGCAUCGGCUAACUCCGUGCCAGCAGCCGCGGUAAUACGGAGGAUGCGAGCGUUAUCCGGAUUUAUUGGGUUUAAAGGGUGCGUAGGCGGGCUGUUAAGUCAGCGGUAAAAUGUCGGGGCUCAACCCCGGCCUGCCGUUGAAACUGGCGGCCUGGAGUGGGCGAGAAGUAGGCGGAAUGCGUGGUGUAGCGGUGAAAUGCAUAGAUAUCACGCAGAACUCCGAUUGCGAAGGCAGCAUACCGGCGCCCGACUGACGCUGAGGCACGAAAGCGUGGGUAUCGAACAGGAUUAGAUACCCUGGUAGUC